UUUGGCCUACGGGAGGCAGCAGUGGGGAAUAUUGCACAAUGGGGGAAACCCUGAUGCAGCGACGCCGCGUGAGUGAAGAAGUAUCUCGGUACGUAAAGCUCUAUCAGCAGGGAAGAAAAUGACGGUACCUGACCAAGAAGCCCCGGCUAACUACGUGCCAGCAGCCGCGGUAAUACGUAGGGGGCAAGCGUUAUCCGGAUUUACUGGGAGUAAAGGGAGCGUAGACGGCAGCACAAGUCUGGAGUGAAAUCCCGGGGCUUAAC
rnacentral:rRNA from 1 species